CUCCGCUUGGUGUAGUUGGUGUAAGUUUACAACAGUCCACACAGACAUGUGUGCAGUGCCUAACAUUCCAUAGUUAUCACGUUCGACUGUAAAUCGAAAGGUCCCUAGUUCGAUUCUGGGAGCGGAGA
rnacentral:tRNA from 1 species